rnacentral:rRNA from 1 species
AACGAACGCUGGCGGCAUGCCUAACACAUGCAAGUCGAACGAAGCCUUCGGGCUUAGUGGCGCACGGGUGCGUAACGCGUGGGAACCUACCAUCAGGUUCGGAAUAACAGUUAGAAAUGACUGCUAAUACCGGACAAUGUCUUCGGACCAAAGAUUUAUCGCCUUUUGAUGGGCCCGCGUAAGAUUAGGUAGUUGGUGGGGUAAAGGCCUACCAAGCCGACGAUCUUUAGCUGGUCUGAGAGGAUGAUCAGCCACACUGGGACUGAGACACGGCCCAGACUCCUACGGGAGGCAGCAGUGGGGAAUAUUGGACAAUGGGCGAAAGCCUGAUCCAGCAAUGCCGCGUGAGUGAUGAAGGCCUUAGGGUUGUAAAGCUCUUUUACUGGGGAUGAUAAUGACAGUACCCAGAGAAUAAGCUCCGGCUAACUCCGUG